rnacentral:tRNA from 1 species
UGCCUUCUUAGUUAAAUGGAUAUAACAAAUCCCUCCUAAGGAUUAGUUGCAGGUUCGAUUCCUGCAGAGGGCACCAA